rnacentral:lncRNA from 1 species
AACUUUUCAGGAUUUAGAACUAGGCAGUGUUCUUAGAUUUGAUGCCAGAAGCAAAAUCCAUAAAAAGAAAAAUUGAUAAGUUGGAUUCAUCAGAAUGAAAACCUUUUGCUCUGCAAAAGAUCCUAUUAAGAGGAUGAAAAGACAAUCUACAGACUGGGAGAACAGCCUCAGGGGGUCACCUACACCCCACCCCCAACUGCCCGUAGGCCCAGGGAGCUGGAGAGCUUCCCUGCCUGCUUGCAGGCACUCACGGCCCUGUGACACACACACACUCAUCCCCAAUGAAGGUGCACCCCUGACCAGGUGUGGACCCCAGGCCAGGCAGCAAAGAGACAGCUGGCCUGACUUGGGUCCUCAGCCUGGCCCAGCCCCAGCCGCCGGCUUGAGCAAGCCCUUCCCGAGAGGUCAACCUCCCAUCCAGGGCGUGAGGGUUGCAGCCUGAUCCCACCCUGCUGCAUCUGCCCUGUGGAGCCCUCGUCCUUUUUCCCUGGGGUCUCCCUCCCCGCCAGGCCAGGCUCUACCCUCAGGGCCGGAGGCCUCCUGGGGGAGGUUCAUGUCUCACUGGGUGGGGCAGGGCAGAGGCUGCCUCUGGGUCUCCUGAUUCCAGGCAGUCUGGGGCAGGAGGCCCACAGGCCCCUGCACUGGCCUGACAGAAGGCUCGGGCCCGGGGCAGAGGGGUGGGCUGCACCCUGCACUGAUGCUCAGACCAAGCUGAGAGGUGGAGAAGUCAGGGGAUAUGCAAGGUGAUGGGGAGCAGCUACCCAGAGCUGUGGGGUGGAGGCCAUGGGUGCCACUCAGCCCUUGGAGGAGCUGCCUCCCACCACCUGCAGCACCAGAGUGGCCCUGCUGAGCUGCAGGCUUUCUCCCUGCAUCUCCAGCUCACACUGUUGUGUGCUCUGUGCCCCAGGGCCAGCCCCAUAGGAUGUCCCCACCAUGGGUCUGCUCUGCAGCCCUGCGGAUGUCUCACCAGCCUGUAUGGGGUGUGCUCCUGGGGACACCACCUUGGGGCUCCUCCAGGGAGCUGAAAGAGGGCAGGCCUGGGGGACACGAGAUGGACAGGGAGUGGUAGAUCUUCAUGACCUUGGAUAUGGCAAUGGAUUCUUAGAUAUGAUAUCAAAAUCUCAAGUAAGAAUAACAAUAACAACAAAAAACAGAUAAAUUAGACUUCAUCAAAUUUAAAACUUUUGUGCACCAAACAACAUUAUCAAGAAAGUGAAAAGACAACCACAGAAUGGGAGAAAACACCUGCAAAUCAUAUAUCUAAUAAUAGUUUAAUAUCCAGAAUAUAUAAAGAACUUCUAAAACUCGAAAACAAAAGAACAAAACAACCAAAUUUAAAAAUGGGCAGGCUGGGCAUGUAGCUCAUGCUUGUAAUCCCAGCACAUUAGGAGGCCAAGGCAGGCGGGUCCAUUUGAGCUCAGGAGUUUGAGACCAGCCUGGGCAACAUAGUGAUACUCCAUCUCUACAAAAAAUACAAAAAUUAGCCAGGCAUGGUGGCUUAUGCCUGUAAUCCCAGCUACUCUGGAGGCUAAGGCUGGAGGAUGACUUGAGGCUGGGAAUCAGAGGUUGCAGUGAGAUCAUGCCACUGCCCUCCAGACUAGGAGACAGAAUGAGACCCUGUCUCAAAAAAUAAAUAAAAAUAAAAAUAAAAUAAAAUAAAAAUGGGCAAAGGAUUUGAAUAGAUGUUUCUCUGAAGAAGAUGCACAAAUGCCAAUAAGCACAUGAAAAGAUGCUCAACAUCACUAAUCUUUAGAGAAAUGUAAAUUAAAGCCACCAUCACUUCACCUAUUGGCAUGGCUAUAAUCAGAAAAGCUAAAAGUAACAACUGCUGGUGAGGAUGUGGAGAAACUGGAACUCUUGUGCAUUGAUGAUGGAAAUGGAAAGUGGUAUAACUGUUGUGUAAAAUAGUGUGGUCAUUCCUCAAAAAG